rnacentral:rRNA from 1 species
CAGCAGCCGCGGGAAUACGGAGGGUGCAAGCGUUAAUCGGAAUUACUGGGCGUAAAGCGCACGCAGGCGGUCUGACAAGUCAGAUGUAAAAUCCCCGGGCUUAACCUGGGAACUGCAUUUGAAACUGUCAGGCUGGAGUCUUGUAGAGGGGGGUAGAAUUCCAGGUGUAGCGGUGAAAUGCGUAGAGAUCUGGAGGAAUACCGGUGGCGAAGGCGGCCCCCUGGACAAAGACUGACGCUCAGGUGCGAAAGCGUGGGGAGCAAACAGGAUUAGAUACCCCUGUAGUCCCUGUCUCUUAUAC